UGGCGAAUAACGUCGCGGCACGCUACGCGAACGCACCCGAUUUGUUCCGGUUGAGCCUGACGUGCACAAAAAUACGAAGUACAAACUUUCGUCCUUCAGUCCUUCUACGCUAUGUGCUAUCUCGACGUGCACAAAAAUACAAAGUACAAACUUUCGUCCUUCAGUCCUUCUACGCUAUGUGCUAUCUCGACGUGCACAAAAAUACAAAGUACAAAAAUCUGUUCUUCGGUUAUUUCUAUCCUACGUUUAUACGUCACCUAGCUAACCCUGAACGUUCAAAUCGCCAGGUUUUCAGAACGAGCACGGCGUACGUACGAGUACGUACCUUUUUAGUUUUUAUUGUUACCUACAGUACAUUUUCUACGGUUGCAGUGUUUUGUCCGUAUGUAAAACCUUUUACCUUUUAUUACAAUUAUCACAUUUGGUUUAUUUGUUUACGUUCUGUCGGGUAUUUUUAGAUUAACGCGAUUUUGUAUGCCGUGUUCUGCGCGUUCACAUUGUCCAAUUUGUGCUCGCCGUCGCCAACUGUAACCGUGUGAUGCUCACCUACACGAUACUUAUCAACGGGGUCAGAGCUCUGAGCACGUUACGCUGUCUCUCGAUGAACUGAUUUCGCGAUGAAAACCGCCUGUGCGUCAUUAUGUUAUUACGCCGUCCGAAACGGCUACUAUCCAAAUGAUUACAUCCUGAGCUACACUGCGAAAAACUUUACCUCACUCUGCGUAGGUAAUAAUACAUUUUAUUGAAACUGUAAACUGUAAAUUUACGUUAGGUAGAACUGAUACUGUAAAGGGGUCUGUACGCGGUCGUUCAGAUUGAAGAUUGUUAGUGUUUUGUAGACAUGUAGACGAUCGUUUUAAUCGUUUUAUAAUAUUAUACAAUAUUUUGUGUAUGUGUAUGUAACAACCGACUAGGUAGGCAUUUGUAAUUGAGGUGUUUCUGUGCAAAAAAGUGCCAUCUCCAUUUUCAAUAAAACGAGUUGUACGUCUAUUCUCAUUGGAAAAACGGCGAGAAAUUAUAUUUGAAACCUAUAUUUUUUUCCGAAGUGUUCUACAUCCACUUUCCGUCAAUAUGUGCUAUUUCCUGUACUAAACCAUAGGUUUUAGUUCUCAUAUUUUUCCGAAACGUGGUAUAUCCAUAAUUUUUUUUUAACAUGUUAUUUCUGUUUUACAUCAAAACUUGUUUUUCUUAAUAUAGAUGACGAUACAGUCUAUUGUUAAUUACAUAUAAACGUCUAUAUUUUAUUUUACAUUUAUUUUAGAUUUAUAGAGUAGCAAAAGAUUUAUUGGUUUUACCAUGAUUUUUUUUUUUUUUUUUGUAUCUGAGUAACAGUUCCAUCAAAACGGUCUUGUUUUAAUCAAAAAAUAAAAAGAUACUUUUUUUGUUGCAUUUUUUAAUAAAGUUUGUGAAUAAGUAAGUAUUUUUUGGUUCCAAGUGGUUUUGAUAAUAAUUGGGAAAAACAUAUGAAAUGCAGGAAAGUGUAUGACAUUAAUAGUUUUGUUAUUUUUGAUUUUGGUUUUUUUAAAACCAUUAAAAAUCCAGUUAAAAAUAAUUGUAGAGAACUAAAAUGUUAACAGAAUACUCAUAUUUACCUUUUCUAGAUGUGGUAAAAUUGUUUAACUAAUUUUGUUGAUUUUUGAGCUUUUUGUAGUAUAAUGUAGCAAUUUUUUUAUAAUGAUGUUAUCAUUAAAUUUUGAUGAAAAUUAUAAAUAUAGUUAUAAGUUAAAUACUUUCAUGUAUCCUUAAGCUUACCCAGCUUUUUACCUUCAACAGUGGCGCAUCAACAGUAUCGACUUUUUUUCUUUUAUUUAUUUGUUAAGAAAUGAAACUUAAAUAUUACAGAUAACUAAAAGGUUAACAACUUACUCAGAAGUCACCAUGAAAGAUGACAAGGGCGGUUGACGGCUGGGUGUUACCGAUUGAACAUUGCUUGCCUGAGAAACACCCAUUAAAAUACUAAAACAUUUUUCCAAGUUAUUUUUAAUAUGGAUUCAACAUUGUGGAGUUAAUUUAUCAAGGAUUACUGUCUAAGAAGAAAUAUCUGCUGUACCUUUCACUUCCCAACUCUGAGAAUCAAGAACUAAGCUUGCACAUCAUUCACUUGUGAAGAAGCUACAAGAAAAGGAAUGCCUAAGCAUCGUUAUAUUGUAAGUUGAUAUUUUAAGAAUUGAUAUUUGUAUGAGAAAUAUUUUUUGAAAUUUUCAUAAGGGGAUUUUUAUAUUAUGUAAUUUAGAAGUUUAUUUCAUAAUAAUAUAAUAACUAUUGUAACCCGGGAAAAGUUACUGAUUUGUUUUGGUAAAAUUGGCCAAUUUUUUAACCCUUUAAGAUCUGGAACUAAUUUUUGUUAUUCAAUAUUUAAUGGGUUGCUUCUUAAAAUAAAAUAAUUUUUUUUUACUAAGUUAUUAGUAUGUUAUUUACAGAGUUGAAUUAAUAUUACUGUUAUUCAUUUUUGACGAUUCAUAUUUGUUUGUUAAUUGCUCUAAUAUCAC